rnacentral:rRNA from 1 species
UACGCAGGUGACAAGCGUUGUCCGGAUUUACUGGGCGUAAAGAGCGCGCAGGCGGUCGAUCAAGUCGAGUGUGAAAGCCCCCCGGCUCAACUGGGGAGGGUCAUUCGAUACUGAUCGACUCGAAGGCAGGAGAGGGUAGUGGAAUUCCCGGUGUAGUGGUGAAAUGCGUAGAUAUCGGGAGGAACACCGGUGGCGAAGGCGGAUCUCUGGGCCUGUCCUGACGCUCAGGCGCGAAAGCUAGGGGAGCAAACAGG